rnacentral:rRNA from 1 species
UUAUGGCUCAGGAUGAACGCUAGCUACAGGCUUAACACAUGCAAGUCGAGGGGCAGCAUUGGAGUAGCAAUACUUCAGAUGGCGACCGGCGCACGGGUGAGUAACACGUAUCCAACCUGCCGCUUACUCGGGGAUAGCCUUUCGAAAGAAAGAUUAAUACCCGAUGGUAUAAAGAGUUCGCAUGUUCCCUUUAUUAAAGAAUUUCGGUAAGCGAUGGGGAUGCGUUCCAUUAGAUAGUUGGCGGGGUAACGGCCCACCAAGUCUACGAUGGAUAGGGGUUCUGAGAGGAAGGUCCCCCACAUUGGAACUGAGACACGGUCCAAACUCCUACGGGAGGCAGCAGUGAGGAAUAUUGGUCAAUGGACGAGAGUCUGAACCAGACCCAAGUAGCGUGAAGGAUGACUGCCCUAUGGGUUGUAAACUUCUUUUAUAAGGGAAUAAAGUGAGGGACGUGUCCCUUUUUGUUAUGUACCUUAUGAAUAAGGAUCGGCUAACUCCGUGCCAGCCGCCGC